rnacentral:lncRNA from 1 species
GAUGGUCUCAAUCUCCUGACCUUGUGAUCCUCCCGCCUCGGCCUCCCAAAGUGCUGGGAUUACAGGCGUGAGCCACCAUGCCCGGCCGUUAUUUUUAAACUCUCUAACAAGAUCUCCUUCCUGAUGGGAAGACUGAGCUAAGCAGUUUCAUUUCUUCUUUUCUUGAAUAAAUCCACUGGCAAAUCUUGUAUGUGUGAUCUCUAAACCUUGGGUUAGAUGAGGACCUUGCAUUUAUUCUUUGGAUGAGAAAAAUAAAUGGCAAAGAUGGGCCCCAGAUAGACAUGUGGGGUAUGUUAUACAUAUUUCUGCUUGUUUGUGUAAUAAGCCAUUUAGGAACCAGACAGAUAAAGGGUAUGUGUAUUUUCCACAGAUUAUUUCCAGAUUUUUACUCAUUUAAUAGUUUCCUAUGAGUGUCCAUGGUGGGGUGGCUGGAGAGCCAGUUUUGACUUUGACCCAAAUGGCGCUUAAACCUUUUCAUUAAAAUUCUGCUCUUCUAAAAAAAAUCAGAGGAGUUUGAAUUGUCACGUCAAUGAAACAAGACCAUUCAAGACUAGAGAAAAGAGACAUGGGAAUAUCCUGUGUGGGGAGAGAGAAAAGCAUCACAGGUAGUUGGGAUAAGGUAGAAUUGCAGGUGAGAACUACCUUUGUUAAGCUUCUUGAUCCCAAGGCAAGAAGGAAAACGAGCUGGUUGUAUAAUUGUCUACAUUGAAAUUACAUAAAUACAAUCAGCAAUGAUUUUAGAGAUUGUAUAAUUGUAUAUUUAGACAAAAGGGCUGGUAUGGAGGACAAGGAGCCCCACUGGCUUCAACACUCCCAUCUGCCCCCAUCCUGGUAUAGGGCUUCACGAAAAAGUGUAAGUCACUUUUCUCAUUUAGCCACUUCAUUUCACAGAUGGGGUAACUGAGGCCAAAGAAGUGAAUGCAUUUGCUCAAUGUCAUUCAGUUAAUUGGUGGGUGAACUGGGACUAAAUUCUGAGUCUUCUGCCUGCUUUUCUAUCUAUAGUCAUUUUAUGAGUCUUCAAGAAAAUCUAUUAUUUAAGGUUUGAUUCUUAUUAAAUCCACUAAACAUUGGCCAAUCUCAUCAUUCAGAGGUAGGUCCUAUUAACAUUCAGACACACACAAACGCAAACACAAUUUAUAGGUUAUAUAUCCAUUUAUUUUUGCCUUUCUUGACUUAACAUUAUAUCAUAGUUUCUCAUAUUGUUACACAUUUUUCUUUGACUGUGAUUUUUAAUAUUUAUAUCAGGUAUUGCUGGGUGUAGUGGCUCAUGCCUGUAAUCCUAGCACUUUGGUAGGCCGAGGCUGGUGGAUCACUUGAGGUUAGGAGUUCGAGACCAGCCUGGCCAACAUGGUGAAACCCCUUCUCUACUAAAAAUACAAAAAUUAGCCAGGCAUGGUGGCAGGCACCUGUAGUCCUAGCUACUAGAGAGGCUGAGGCAGGAGAAUUGCUUGAACAUGGGAGGCAGAGGUUGCAGUGAGCCAAGAUCGUGCCACUGCACUCCAGCCUGGGAGACAGAGAGAGACUCUGUCUCAAAAAAAAAAAAAAAAAAAAAGAUAUUACUAUAAGGAUAUAUCAUAUAAUAAACUAUUGGAAGGAUUGGCUGUCUUUUAUCCCCAGGUAAAAUCUGUUUAAAGACAUGCACAUCUGCCCAGCCUUCUGGGGGAAACAACCCCAGGAAAAUUUUCCAGCUCUGAAAGCUCAGCUCACCUUCCAUAUAGUGAUAUUUGAGAGGAUGACCUGUAGCUUCUGAAUUCCAGGGAGUAGCUUCCAUUAUUUCAAUACUUUUGGCCAAUGUCUUCCCACAGCUUUAUUUCCACAACCACGGCUUGGCUUGCUGUCUGGGCUGGAAGCACUCAGUGCUUCCUCACUCAGCUGAGGAGCAAGGGGAAAGCCACUGACUUAUCCAGCAUCAGUAGCGGAAUGUCCGAAAGAGUUGGGCAUUGACCAAAGAGGACAUCGAUUCUUUGGGAUUUAGAAGGGCUAACAUAAAAUCGAUUCCUACAAGACUAACAAAUUGGGAAAGAAUAAGGAAUGGUGUUCAGAAAGAUGACCUCAGUCAUGGCCAGGCCUGAAAGCACCUCCGAAUCAUCAGAGAAAAAUUGCACUGCUGCCAGGGUGGUUAUAAUGUCAGGUUCUGUUUAUGAUGUCUGGAUGCCUUGAAAAUUAAUCAUUUAAGAAAAAACAUUAUUUAUUUAUGACCCAUACUCUACUCCCCUGCUCUAUCCCUCCCCACCUCCUUAAAGGCAACACAUUUUGGCACUUUAAGUUGGUUUUUCCAUUUUCUAUAUGCUUCUAUUGGUAUUUUUAGAUUUAUUAAUGCCAGGCAUUGUGCAUAUUGACUGCAGGUGCGCUUCUGGUGGAUUACAUGUGUUACUGAUUCUUUUUGUUUUUUGAGACAGAGUCUUGUUCUGUCACCCAGGCUGGAGUGUGGUGGUACAAUCAUGGCUCACUGCAGCCUUGACCUCUUGGACACAAGUGAUCCUCCUGCCUCAGCCUCUGGAAUAGUUGGGACCACAGGUGCACACCACCAUGAAGGGCUAAGUUUUUUAUUUUUUAAAUUUUUUGAAGAGACGGGUUUUGCUAUGUUGCCCAGGCUGAUGUCAAACUCCUAGUCUUGAGCAAUCCUCCCACCUUGGCCUCCUAAAGUGUUGGAAUUACAGGCAUGUGCCACUGUGCCUGGCUGUAUUACAGAUUCCUGAUGGAGCACCAGAAUACAGAGUGAGAUAUUACAGAACUAGAAUCCAGGAAAGAAUAGUUAACCAUCACACGACUUGAGUAGACUUGAGGAGUUCAAUCUGUCAUAACUAUUCCCCUCAAUUUCUCUCUUUCUAUUCUCCCCAUAAUGCUCACUUUACAAUUUGAAGUUAAAUUGAUAGUAUUUACAUUUUUACUAUGAAAAUAUUGUUCACUGAAGAAACAAGUACUGUAUGAGUACCUCCCUUUUUAAAUAGAAUAUUUUUGUUUCUUUUGGAGCUAAUAAUUUUUUCAUUUUUUUCUCUUUUGACUUGAAUAGUACUACGUACAUAUUUUUCUGUUUAAUUGAGCUUGUUAAUCAUUUUCUUUUGCCAGUGCUUAUAUAAAGCAGAUAAUCUGCCAGUUGCAUUUUCCCACCUGUAAAACUCCCUCCCGUAGCGCUCCAUCUUCUGCUCCGGUUCUGAAUGACUGUUUUUUGAGCCUAAUAUGCAGCUGUCAUCCUGGGAUGUGGUAGACUGCUUGUUAAACAUAUUCACUGCACCUUCUUGCAUGGGGAUUAUAUUUCUGUGUCCCAUUGAUACCUGGCUUUGUCACGUAAUUUGCUUUGGCCAAUGAAAUGUAAGUAGAAGUGUAAGUAGUGUGUAUCACUCUGGAGAAGGAACUUUAGAACCAGGAAAUGGUUUAUCAUGGUCUCUUUUAUUUUCUGCCAUGACAGUUGUCAAUGUUUCAGAUAGAGAAUGCUAAGUCAAGUCAGAUCUGGGGUAAAGAGGACAUGGAGCAGAGCUAUAGCCAACCCACAAUGGACAUGUAACAAGAAGAGAGCCUCUGUAGUUGUAUGCUACAGCCUGAACUGGCCUAUCUUGUUUAGGCCACACAAUUGAUGAUUGUAGCCUUCCUGCUUUGGCAGUUGCUGUGUUCUGAAUGUUUGUGUCCCUCCAUAACUUGUAUGUUGAAAUCUAAUUCCCAAUACAAUGGGGUUAAGAAGUGGGGCCCUUAGCAGGUGAUUAGAUCAUGAGGGCAGAACUCUCAGGAAUGGGAUUAGUGCCCUUAUAAAAGGUCCAAAGGAGCUAGUUUGUCCCUUUCACCAUGUAAGUAUACAUAGAAGGCACCAUCUAUGAGCAAUGGGACCUUACCACCCAUUGAGUCUGUUGGUACCUUGAUCUUGGACUUCUCAGCCUCCAGAACUGUGAGCAACAAAUUUCUAUUGUUUAUAACUUACCAGUCUAAGGCAUUUUGUUAUCGCGGCCCUAACAUACUAGGACAGCUGGUCUGUUCCUAGCUUGCUUGCUUGCUUAUUGUUUAAUCUAUUGUUUUGAUGGAGCAUAACCUAUUCCAGCUUCCUAAGAAAUGGUGCACAGAACAUAAAACUUGUGAGUUCUUGCUUAACUAAAAUUUCCUUUCUUCUAUCUUCACAUUAUUUGGCUAGUUUGGUUGGGUAUAGUGGUCUAUGUUAAAAUUACUUUUAGAAUUUUGAAGAUGUGGCUUCUUUGUUUUCUAAUAUUCUGUGUUGCUGUUGAGAAGUCUGAUGCCAUUUUGAUCCAAUCCUUGGAAGAAAAUUUUAAUUUUUUUCCAUAGAGGCUUUAAAUUUUUUCCUUAUCCCAAUGAGUUGAAAUUUUACUCUGAUAUAACUUUCUAUGGCUGUUUUCUCAUCAUUUUUUUUCCUGUAUACUUUCAAUCCUGGAACUCGUGUUCUUUCCUUCUAGAAAAUUUUUUCAAAAAUAAUGAUUAUGUCUUUGAUAAUUUCUCCUCUCUGUUUUAUCUUUCUGUAAUUAGCAUUAGUCAGAUGUUAGAUAUUCUGGAUUGAUCCUGACAUUUCAACUUUUCUUUCCUAUGUUCCAACUCUGUUAUUUUAAAAAAAAAGGAUAUUUGAAGAUUCCUUAUUUUCUGGUCUUUCUAUUAAGUUUUCUAUUUUAGCUGUGUUGUCUAAUUCAUAGGAAUUUACAAGAGAAUACAGAGGAGAUGACUUUGGGAAUUUAAUUUAUGACGUUUAGAUUUAAAAUUUGCAUAAACCUUGAAAUUGCUGAUGUUGGUGUCUUCCACUUCGCAAUACCACCCCGCAGUUCACAGAUGAGAAUGAUAAUUUCCAGAAAAGAAAAUGACUUAAAGUAAUAGCACGUCCUCCUAAUUCUAGGUCAGCUUCUUUCCACCCCCAAUGUUGUGCCUUUUCGUCUUACUGUAGCUGAAACUUUAUUUCAAUUCUAAUAAAGGACACUUUUAAAAUUAGCUUCUGAAUGGAAGGAAGCAAUGAAGAUUGGUUAGGGCAUCAUUGAAAAGCAGGCACUUGGCCGGGUGUGGUGGCUUACGCCUGUAAUCCCAGCACUUUGGGAGGCCGAGGUGAGCGGAUCACAAGGUCAGGAGAUCAAGACCGUCCUGGCCAACAUUGUGAAACCCUGUCUCUACUAAAAUACAAAAAAUUAGCUGGGCAUGGUGGUGGGCACCUGUAGUCCCAGCUACUUGGGAGGCUGAGGCAGGGGAAUUGCUUGAACCUGGGAGGUGGAGGUGCAGUGAGCCAAGAUCGCACCACUGCACUCCAGCCUGGUGACAGAACAAGACUCCAUCUCAAAAAAAAAAAAAAAAAAAAAAGAAAAAAGAAAAGCAGGCACUUAUGUGGUGGUGAGCUAGCAUCACUUGGGGCUGAGAUGAAAAUCCAAUGCCUCUCUGGCUCUGACUCACACGGAAUCUGUCGAGUUGUUUCAUUUUUUUAGACAUUGGUUUCUUCAUCUACAAAUUGAGGAGGUGGGAGUAGGUCUUUGCUCUUCAAACUCUUGAGGUUCCAUGGGGUGCCUAGGGCCUUAAGGGCUUGGGGAGGGGGCGGAAUGAGGGAAAGGGAGGUAGGGCUCUGGGUCCUUGCUCAGCUUCACCUGAACAGUUCCACUUAGUCCCGUUUUAUGUAUUUGGUUUUCAUGUAGGCUUUUGUUGCUAAAAAAGGUUUUGUGACUAAAUGUUUGGGAAUCACUUCACCAACCUUCUGUAGGUUUUCUUUUGGCAUUGUACUUUUCCGGUACUCUGAUUAGAGAUGUUCUUUUAGGCUCUCAACUUUGACUGGCUGAAACUUAUAAGCCAUCAAGCUCUCUGGCGUUCCUAUAAAUUAGGAUGCAUGUGGAGGUAAUUACCAUUCUGGAAUUCUAAGCCCUGGAAUCCUGGUCAAUUCUUUUUUUAUUAUUUUAUUUAUUUUAUUUAUUUACUUUUCUGAGACAGGGUCUGGCUCUGUAACCAAGGCUGGAGUGUAGUGGCAUGAUCUCUGCUCACUGCAACCUCUGCCUCCUGGGCUCAAGCGAUCCUCCUACCUCAGCCUCCUGAGUAGUUGGGACUACAGGUACAUGCCACCACGCCUGGCUAAUUUUUGUAUUUUUUUGUAGAGAUGGGCAUUUUGCCAUGUUGCCCAGGCUGGUCUUGAACUACUGAGCUAAAGUGAUCUGCCCACCUCAGCCUCCCAAAGUGCUGGGAUUAUGAAUACUAGUCAAUUCUUAAACUGUCUUUCAAAUCAAUAGUCUCACUGCAGACACUGUCACUCAAUACAUAUUAUCAAUGCCAACACAAUGGGAAACUGGAUCCUGCCAUUUUCUUGAUUAGAUAGUAGAGACAGGCUGGAUCCUGCCAUUUUCCUGAUUAGAUAGUAGAGACAGGCUAAAGUAGAGUCUUAGCUGUCAUUCUGCUGUCGGGGUCCUGCUUCCCUCCACGGAGAAUCAAAGUCUGGAUGUCAGACUUUGUUCCCUUGGCUGAGGAGAGGGACAGAAGAGACCAGCUUGUAGUCCCUUGCCCUUGGGAAGGAAACUGGUUUUCUGCUCUGUUCAACCAUGUUUACUAAUCAUUAAAGGAAACAAUAGAUGUAGGCCAAAUGCUGGUAUCAGAUGAGAGGGUUGAGAGUGAGCAGAUCAGUGUCGGAGCCUGGGAUUAAGGAAGUCAAGGUCAGCAGUGGAUCCCUCGGAGGCCCAGAGAAAUGGCUUGGUUAGGGCACGUCUGCUACCUGGGGUGGGGGAGGCAGAGAUUCGCUUCAAGAUGAAUCGCAUUCGCCUUAGAAUUAGAAUGCCCUUCCUAGAAAGCCCUUAGAGAUUAUGUGAUUAAACCUCCUUAUCUUACACAUGGAAAAACUAAAACCUAUAGAAGGGACACCUCUUGCCUGUGGUCACCCACAAUUAAUGUUUUAUUCCUCCCAGUCCACACUUGUGCAGUCCUCACAUAUCUCUGAACAGGGACUGGGUACUUAAAUUAGGUAACUGGCAAGGAGGUUUUUUUGAGAAGGGAAGGUGAGGGAAUUUUUCGACCUUGUGCCAUUGCUUGAGAGGCAGAAGCCAACACACCAUUAGUUAAACCCAGACCAAAUUCAUCAGCUUGUGAGACUCUAGACCCCACACCUGUCUAAGGACUGCAAAGAGCAGUCAGUGUACAUAAGAAUUCCCUCCUGCCUCCUGUGAUUCUCAGCCCUCACCAGCCUGGGCCCAUUGGUAAAUUUAUCUUGAGUUAAAAAUACUGCUUCUACCACCAGCACACGCCAAAUAGAGUCCUUGAGACACCUAUGCACUGAAGCACCUACACGGUGUUUAGCACUGAUACGGUACUCUGCCCUUUCUGAGCCUGGUAGUCUGGCUGUCUGAUAGGAGCAGGGAACCCACAGAUAUCAUCUACUUCCGUAAAAUUCGUUCAAUUAAUGAGCAUCCACCGGGAGAAGAAGGAUCAUUUUCAGCCUCCCUGACCACAGGCUUUGGUUUCAGGACAAUGCAGACUGGGCAGCAGAUCAAAUAAAGCCAUCACCAGCGCAUAGGACAGUCUCAAGGGGGUUAACUGUCCCUGUCCUCUACAAUUGUUGCUGGGGAGCAAUUUGCCCUUGAAUCUUCCAUACUGUCCCUAAAUUGACAAUUUCAUUUCCUUCCAAUCCCGCCCCCUGCCCUGAAGAUCUGCUGAGGCUGCGAGUUCCAUGUGAGAAGGCAGGAGGAUAAUAGGGUUCUCUAGAGGGACAGAACUAAUAGGAUUGAAGUAUAUAUGAAGAGGAGUUUAUUAAAUAGUGUUGACUCACACGAUCACAAGGUGAAGUCCCACAAUAGGCCAUCUGGAAGCUGAGGAACAAGGAAGCCAGUCUGAGUCCCAAAACCUCAAAAUUAGGGAAGCCGACAGUGCAACCUUCAGUCUGUGGCGAAGGCCUGAGAGACCCUGGCAAACCACUGGUGUAAAGUCCAAGAGUCCAAAAGCUGAAGAACUUGGAGUCUGAUGUUCAAGGGCAGGAAGCAUCCAGCACAGGAGAAAGAUGAAGGCCAGAAGACUCAGCAAGUCUGCUCUUUCCAUCUUCUCCUGCCUGUUUAUUCUAGCUGCGCUGGCAGCUGAUUAGAUGGUGCCCACCCAGAUCGAGGGUGGGACUGCCUCUCCCAGUCCACUGACUGAAAUGUUAAUCUCCUUUGGUAACACAGACACACCCAGGAACAAUACUUUGCAUCCUUCAAUCCAAUCAAGUUGACACUCAAUAUUAACCAUCAAACUAUUCUAAGUAGUCGUAUGACAUGAUUAAAGUGGUAUUUUGGAAAGAUCACUUUGGUGGCAGCAGUAAUUAGAGGGAGAGAAACUGAAGUCCAGGAGACUACCUAGGGGUUAGCAUCAUUAUUUAACAAAUGUAUGAAUACCUUCAAUGUUGGCUUCUCAUAGUCAAGUCUGAAGAUAAUAGGGGACUGCUUUAGGGGAACAGAAAAAAUUAAAGAGGAAUGGAUGAAUUCAAGAGACACUUUCAAGGAAGAUUCAUUAGGGUUAGUGACUGGAUUGUGAUUGGGGCAAAGGAGAAAGAGGAGCAAAAGGUGCCUGGGGAUUUCAAGUGUGAGUUUUUGGGAGAAUCACCCAUUAUCAGCUCGAGGCAAGUCAGGGAUGGAAGCUCAGUUUUGGGGAGAGAGAUGAAUGGGAUGUAUUUGGACUGAGCUGUCAGAAAUCACUAUGUUUAGGAGCUAAGCAGAGAAGCCACUCAAAGCAAUAGGCAAAGAACAGCCAGGUUUGGGAAGACAGAAGCAAGAGCAUGCAGGCCCAGAGCAGAGGGGAAGAGAUUCAGAGAGGGUGGCUACGGUGCCAGGUGCCGUAGACAUCUCAGAGAGAGUAAGGCUUGGGAAAGGUGAUGGGCAUAUAGAGCGAGCAGUCAUGGUUGACUGAGCAUCCUUGAUGCCAGUGAAAUGGCAGAGGCAGAAUCCAGAUUAUAAAGGCAAUAAAGAAUAUUAACAGCCCUAAACUCAAUCUUUUGAUGAGAGGAGUGGCAAGGUUCUAGAAACACACAUGGAACCAGAAGUAUUGCUGAGGGCUUUUUGGGAAAAUACAACCUAAAACAAUAUUCAAAAUCCUUAAGCUCGUGUUCUAAUAUGUAAGAGGCUGAAAGACUACCUCCUAGGGUUGUAGGCUUAAGCCACAGGUUUCCCAGACUUUUUGGAUCAUGGUGCUCCUAGGCCAAAAAAAUAUGUAACUGUUCUGUUUAAGUGUUUAUAUAUAUAUAUAUAUAUAUAUAGUAUCUCCUAAUGAAUUAGUAGGUAUUUGAAAUAAUACUGAUAAAUGGAAAGAAAAAGUACUGUCUUUAUUUCUUUCACAAAUAACUACAACUCACAGGAUAUGUGAGCCAGUUGGGCCCUAUGCACCUUCUCAGAUCUUGGAAUCUGAUGGGCCACUACCACCUUCACCGCCCGUUCCACAUUGGUUUUCACACUGCACGUGCCUGUUAUCCCUGCAACCACCUCAAACUCAGCUUUGCAAGGAUAUGAUGUCCUUGAAAGGGAUGCAGCACAAUCUAAUGCUGAAACGGUGAGCAGCCUGGAGCUCAGAGCUGUAUGUUGCCCUGUGGGUGUUGGGUAUGGCUUCUACAUUUAAAAUACUCUUCAGGUUGGGCAUAGUGGCUCAUGCCUGUAAUCCCAGCACUUUGGGAGUCUGAGGUGAGUGGAUCACCUGAGAUCGGGAGUUCAAGACCAGCCUGGCCAACAUGGUGAACCCCAUCUCUACUAAAAAUACAAAAUUAGCUGGGCAUGGUGGUCCAUGCCUGUAUCCCGGCUACUUGGGAGGCUGAGGCAGGAGAAUCGCUUGAACCCAGGAGGUAGGGGUUGCAGUGGGCUGAGAUCGCACCACUGCACUCCAGCCUGGGCAACAAGGACGAAACUCUGUCUCAACAAAACAAAACAAAAUGGAAAAAAAACCAGCUCUUUAGUGCUCUUGUGAGUUUGCUGUGGGCCUCAGGGUACCUCAUCACACAGUUUGAGAAGUGUGGGUUUAAACAUAGUAGAUCCAGAAUGAGGGACUAUUUAAUGUGCCAAAGUGAUAGUUUCCUAACACAUACCAAACUUCCUAACAAGGUUAUUCAGAUUUCACAUGUCUAGGAUAUAUUGAACUUGGAUAAUUCAGAGUCGAGGGCAGUGAAGGUGAUUUGUCCAAAUUGAUGAAUUUUUAGGAACUGCCUUGGCUUUCAUAUAUAACAGGUAAGAGACAACAAUCUCCUCCCCUUAUCUCAGGGAAGGUGAGCUAUGAGUUAUAUACUGUCUUUAAGAAAUUGACAAUUGCCCUGAAAAAUGUCACACAUAGAGACUGAGGGAAAGAUAGGAGGGGAAAUGCGAUGCAUAUAUAGGUUGAGAAAAUUGCCCAAGCCAUGUAACAUGGGUAGAAAAAAACAGAGCAAUGUUUCAUUCCCAGCUUACCUCAAGAACCUUCCCACUAUCGCUGGGCAUGGUGGCUCACGCCUGUAAUCCCAACACAUAGGGAGGUAGACGCAGGUGGAUCACCUGAGGUCAAGAGUUCGAGACCAGCCUGGCCAACAUGGUGAAACCCCGUCUCUACUAAAAAUACAAAAAUUAGCUGGGCAUGGUGGCGCAUACCUGUGAUCCCAGCUACUUGGGAGGCUAAGGCAGGAGAAUCACUUGAACCCGGGAGGUGGAGGUUGCAGUGAGCCGAGAUUGCACCAUUGCACUCCAGCCCGGGUGACAGAGUAAGACUCUGUCUCAAAAAAAAAAAAAACAAAAACCUUCCUAGUAUCCUAGAGUGCUACCCAAUAUAAGAUGAAAUUUUACAUGAACUGGAAACAAUUAGGAUAAACCCACCCAACCUCCACAGCAAAGUAGUUUCUGCAACUCCCAAAGUUAAAUGAACCUAGAACAUUGACAUAUUUUCCAAAGCAAUUUCUUAUUUAGCUCAGAACUUUAUAUGUGACCUCAAUAAGGUCAUUUUAUGGCUCUUAGUUUCUUUAAAUAGAACACCAAAGUUGUAAAAAGGCGCAUUUUUUCUCUAAGGUUACUUAGCAAAUUGCAAAUGAAAGAGGAAAUAUACAUGCGACUAGAGAGUUCAUCACCUUACUGCACUAGAAAAUAUGGCCCAAUUUCUCUCUCUCUUUCUUGUUCAUAAUUCUCAGACAAGACAAUAGGAGUCAUGUGAUGUGACUGAGAAAUUGGGCCAGUUAAAAAUAGAAGGUGCACUUCACCAAGUUUGUUAGAAAGUGGAAGUUUCAUUGCUGAUUGCUGUUCAUUUAUCUCUGCCUGCCACAUCUGUGAGGGAGUGGGGCAAGAGACAAUUGCAGAUUCUGAGGGCUGGAGCCCCCACACCCCCCUCUUUCUAUUUCCUGGCCCGGCUAAACAGCAAUGCCCAGGAGCUCAACUGAGCCCCGUGCACUCUCUCUCUUGGUCCUCAGGGAACUCUCUUCUCUGGUUGGCAGCAGUUUUAGUUGGGAGAAAGCUCUAGCUGGCUCCUCGUUCCUCCCAAUGGGAGUGCUCAACGUCAGCUUUUCUAAAUGGGAAAUGAAGGUCUCCAGCCUCACGUAUGCAACAUAGUGUCUGUACUUUUGCCCUUGCAGAGUUCUGAAAGUCUUCACAAGCCUUGCCUGCAUAGCAGCUGGCAGGUGGGAGAGGAGAGAGGCCACACUGAGACCUGCCAGUUUCAUAAAUGGAACUGAGUCCUCCCCUCACCAGCUCAGAGUGAGCACCCACCAUGGGUCCAGCAAUGCCUGGGGCCCCAGAUCUAGAAAGCACGAUGAUAUACACUUGCAGGCCUUGCAGGGUUCCCAGGACAGAGGGUCCGAGGAAGGCCAGGCCAGGCCCAGAACUCCCAGACCUGAUUCCCUCUGAUGGUGGUCAAUAUUCUUCACAUUAGGGUUUGCAAAUUGUUUCAUUUAACCAGGUAUUCUCGCCUCCUCCCCACUUUUUUUUUUCCACUUUCAAUUUUUAUUUUAGAAUCAGGUGGUACAUGUGCAGAUUUGUUGCAAAGGUAUAUUGUGUGAGGCUGAAGUUUGGAGUACAAAUGAAUCCGUCACUCUGGUAGUUUUUUUGUUUUUUUGAGAUGGAGUCUUGCUCUGUCACCCAGGCUGGAGUGCAGUGGCGCGAUCUCGGCUCACUGCAAGCUCCGCCUCCCGGGUUCACGC